CCUCGACUUCGGAGAGGCAGCGCGGUUCCUCUGGGUGCUUCCGCCUCCCCUUCUCCUGCUUCUCCAGCCUCUUCGGCCUCCUCGCCCGCCGCGGGAACCCGAGACCCCAGUGUAUGCCCCACCCCUGACCCCGCUCGCGACAUGUCCACCCCGGCUCGGCGGCGCCUCAUGCGGGACUUCAAGAGGUUGCAGGAGGAUCCUCCAGCCGGAGUCAGCGGGGCUCCGUCCGAGAACAACAUAAUGGUGUGGAACGCGGUCAUUUUCGGGCCUGAAGGGACCCCGUUUGAGGAUGGUAAGAGAGAGUUUCUUUACCCACUUUUCAGGAGCCUGGUCAUCUGGGGAAAGGGUUCCCAGUCAUCCUGGAAGUGUCUCCUGCUUAGGAACCUGCCUCUGCCUAGCCUCUGUCUGCUAAAGGCUUGAGUGGAAUGCAGUGUGUGGCUGGUGGUUCUGGAUAUUGUAUGCUUGACUAGAACUGCACCUUUCUUCUUGCUUUCUUAAAAAAAAAUCUGGGUAAGGCAGUCACUUUUUAAAAGGAGCAAUCAUAGCACUGGUAUUAAGGAUUUUGAGGCUUGGGCUGUGAUUCUGCUAAAUUCAGCCCUCCAUCACUGAAUUAGUAUAAACCCAACCAGUUGCUGAUAGUCAGCAGAGACCCCAGAGACCAUCUGGUUCAGAAUUCUACCCCAA
rnacentral:sRNA from 1 species